rnacentral:misc_RNA from 1 species
AUGUUUUUCUUUUUUUUUUUUAAUAAGUAAAUAGUACAAACUAGUAGGUAUAUGCUUAGGUGGUGUUUUUUGUCUGGAGUUAUCGAUGUUGUGCGGGGAAGCUUUGAACAGGACCACACGGCCUCUGGUCAUAGAUUUGAAAUAAAUGUUAAUGCGAUAACACAGACAGGAGAAAGCAGAAUCUAGGAUUGAGUAGUCAAUAGCUAAA